AUUUAUUAUAGAUAUUAUCAAUUAUUAUGAUGACAUAUUAUUUUUUUAAAUAACAUAACAGACUCUGAGCAUCCCAACCUCCCCCAGCCCCUCAGUCCUGCCAAAAUCCUGCAAUGCUUGGGAAUUUUUCCUGCCCGGUUCUUGUGGUUUUUUGUGUUUCUCAGAGCGAAUUUUAAAGGAUUUUCCUGAGUUGUUAAGGCUGAAUUUAUCCUGGAUUUUCCCCGAUGUUUUUCCCAAGAAUUCCUGGAAUUUUGACCGGUUUGGGGCAGUUUCAGGGUCGGUUUUAGGACUAUUCCUGGCCAUUUUCAUAUCGAUUUUUAGGGGAUUUUUGCCUCUCUUAUUGUGAAUUCAUUGGGCUGAAUUUCCCCUGGAUUUUUCCAGAUUUUUUCCCUCAGAAAUCCUUAAGGUUUUCAUAGAUUUUAGGAUAGCCCACAGCACAGACAGGGAGAGGGUCAGGAAACCCCAAAACAUCAUCACCCCACAGCACGGACAGGGAGAGGGGCAGGAAACCCUAAAAUAUCCCCUGAGCCCACAGCACGGACAGGGAGAGGGUCAAAAAUAUCAUCACCCCACAGCACAGACAGGGAGAGGGGCAGAAAAUCCCAAAAUAUCAUCACCCCACAGCACGGACAGGGAGAGGGGGGGGGGGGGGGGGGGGGGGGGGGGGGGGGGGGGGGGGGGGGGGGGGGGGGGGG
rnacentral:lncRNA from 1 species